AUUGAACGCUGGCGGCAGGCCUAACACAUGCAAGUCGAACGAGGGGCGGACGGGUGAGUAAUGUCUGGGAAACUGCCUGAUGGAGGGGGAUAACCACUGGAAACGGUAGCAUAUACCGUAUACCAUGGGAUGUGCCCAGAUGGGAUUAGCUAGUAGGUGGGGUAAAGGCUCACCUAGGCGACGAUCCCUAGCUGGUCUGAGAGGAUGACCAGCCACACUGGAACUGAGACACGGUCCAGACUCCUACGGGAGGCAGCAGUGGGGAAUAUUGCACAAUGGGCGCAAGCCUGAUGCAGCCAUGCCGCGUGUAUGAAGAAGGCCUUAUGGUUGUAAAGUACUUUCAGCGGGGAGGCGUUACCCGCAGAAGAAGCACCGGCUAACUCCGUGCCAGCAGCCGCGGUAAUUC
rnacentral:rRNA from 1 species